CCCACGGUACCGCAUGGCACUAGAGGAAAAGGAUUAUUCGCUUAGGAUGGACUCGACGUCCAAUUAGCUAGUGGUGAGGUAACGGCCCGACCAAGGCGACGAUUGGUAGCCGGACUGAGAGGUUGAACGGCCACAUUGGGACUGAGACACGGCCCAGACUCCUACGGGAGGCAGCAGUGGGGGAUAUUGCACAAUGGGGAAACCCUGAUGCAGCGACGCCGCGUGGAGGAAGAAGGUUUUCGGAUUGUAAACUCCUGUCGUUAGGGACGAUAAUGACGGUACCUAACAAGAAAGCACCGGCUAACUACGUGCCAGCAGCCGCGGUAAAACGUAGGGGUGCAAGCGUUGUCCGGAAUUACUGGGUGUAAAGGGAGCGCAGGCGGGAAGACAAGUUGGAAGUGAAAACCAUGGGCUCAACCCAUGAAUUGCUUUCAAAACUGUUUUUCUUGAGUAGUGCAGAGGUAGAUGGAAUUCCCGGUGUAGCGGUGGAAUGCGUAGAUAUCGGGAGGAACACCAGUGGCGAAGGC
rnacentral:rRNA from 1 species